CUCUUGUGCUGAUUUUGUCCAUAAAAUUCAGAUUCCUUUGAGACCAUGUGAAGACUGCGGUGGUUCAGGCCUAUGUUCUGAAUGCAAAGGUGAAGGGUUUGUGCUGAAGAAACUGUCGGAUGAAAAUGCAGAGCGUGCACGGUUGGCUGCGAAGAACAUGGCAACUCGGUUCACCGCAGCGCUUCCUAAAAAAUGGAGCUACUGUUCCAAGUGUUCUUCUGCUCGUUCUUGUAGUACUUGUGGUGGCACGGGGACGUUCAACUCUUAGUCUUACAACCCGACAAACUCCUUAUAUCUCCGUGUAUCUUUCUAUCUCGUAAAUUUUUCUCAUUAGGAGUAUUCAAAGAAUUCGAUGACUUGAAAAAUUUAAUCAACCCAAUCUAAUUUGUACGACUUGGAUUGGGUUGAGUUCAAAUAAAUAAAUUUUUUAUA